AUUGAACGCUGGCGGCAGGCCUAACACAUGCAAGUCGAGCGAGCGGCGGACGGGGGAGUAAUGUAUGGGGACUGCCCGCUAGAGGGGGAGAACUACUGGAAACGGUAGCUAAUACCGCAUACUAUCGGAUAACCCAUAUGGGAUUAGCUAGUAGGUGAGGUAAUGGCUCCACUAGGCGACGAUCCCUAGCUGGUCUGAGAGGAGGAUCAGCCACACGGGGACGGAGACACGGCCCGGACGCCUCGGGAGGCAGCAGUGGGGAAUAUUGCACAAUGGGCGCAAGCCUGAUGCAGCCAUGCCGGGUGUAUGAAGAAGGCCCUAGGGUUGUAAAGUACUUUCAGUCGGGAGGCGUGACCGACAGAAGAAGCACCGGCUAACUCCGUGCCAGCAGCCGCGGUAAUUC
rnacentral:rRNA from 1 species